GUAGGUGAACCUGCGGAAGGAUCAUUAACACAUGAUUUUUAUUCAAAUAACCAAACGGCGCAUAACAGAAUCGACACGGCUAAGGCUUGGGGGAAACGCGCAGUUCCUCUCUGUAAUGGAAGGAAAUGCUCCCAAGAUGUUUGUCCACAGAAGCAGUGCAAACACACUGUUUGGUGUGAGGUGAUACUUAGACUGUGCUCGGUGCCUACAGCCCCUGCGAUGGCUGGCCCUUUUUUUCUUUUUAAACCUU
rnacentral:misc_RNA from 1 species